UACGGAGGGGGCUAGCGUUGUUCGGAAUUACUGGGCGUAAAGCGCACGUAGGCGGCUUUGCAAGUUAGAGUUGAAAGCCCAGGGCUCAACCCUGGAAUUGCCUUUAAGACUGCAUCGCUUGAAUCAUGGAGAGGUGAGUGGAAUUCCGAGUGUAGAGGUGAAAUUCGUAGAUAUUCGGAAGAACACCAGUGGCGAAGGCGACUCACUGGACAUGUAUUGACGAUGAGGUGCGAAAGCGUGGGGAGCAAACAGG
rnacentral:rRNA from 1 species